rnacentral:piRNA from 1 species
UGCAAGUCCAAUGGGCCUCUCUUUGCGGU